rnacentral:piRNA from 1 species
UUAUGGGAUGGAUCCCCAGGUAUGCCAGU